rnacentral:rRNA from 1 species
GACGAACGCUGGCGGCGUGCUUAACACAUGCAAGUCGAACGGAAAGGCCUCUUUCGGGGGGUACUCGAGUGGCGAACGGGUGAGUAACACGUGAGUAACCUGCCCUUGACUUUGGGAUAACUUCAGGAAACUGGGGCUAAUACCGGAUAGGAGCUCCUGCUGCAUGGUGGGGGUUGGAAAGUUUCGGCGGUUGGGGAUGGACUCGCGGCUUAUCAGCUUGUUGGUGGGGUAGUGGCUUACCAAGGCGUUGACGGGUAGCCGGCCUGAGAGGGUGACCGGCCACAGUGGGACUGAGAUACGGCCCAGACUCCUACGGGAGGCAGCAGUGGGGAAUAUUGCACAAUGGGUGGAAGCCUGAUGCAGCAACGCCGUGUGCGGGAUGACGGCCUUCGGGUUGUAAACCGCUUUCGCUCAUGACGAAGCUUUGUGUGACGGUAGUGGGUAAAGAAGCACCGGCUAACUACGUG